UUUAUUAGGGCAUCGCGUCCCAUAGCAACGGCUGGGCGGCGGACUCAUCGGCGAAACCUCCCCGGCGAACCGACCUAAACCCUAACCUUCCAAUGCCAGCGGCAAUGGCCGGCGGCGAUGGCGGCAUGGGCAGUGGCCCUCGAUCCCUCGAUUGCCGUAGCUUCUGGAAGGCCGGCGCGUUCGAGGCCCCCUCCGCCGCCGCCCGCGAGUUCUACGACGUGCUGGAGACAGGGGACUUCGACCGCGCGCGGGUGCACCCGAAGUUCCUGCACACCAACGCGACCUCCCACAAGUGGGCGUUCGGAGCUAUAGCUGAACUUCUUGACAAUGCAGUUGAUGAGAUUUGCAAUGGAGCCACAUUCAUAAAAGUGGAUAAAAGCAUCAAUUUAAAAGACAGUAGCCCAAUGCUGGUUUUCCAAGACGAUGGAGGAGGAAUGGAUCCUGAAGGUGUACGGCAAUGCAUAAGUUUAGGAUUCUCAACCAAGAAAUCAAAGACAACCAUUGGCCAGUAUGGAAAUGGCUUUAAGACAAGCACAAUGAGACUUGGUGCUGAUGCAAUUGUUUUUACUCGUGCAAUCCGUGGGAGUAAUGUUACCUUGAGUGUUGGCUUGCUCUCAUACACUUUCUUGAGGAGAACAAUGAAGGAUGACAUAGUUGUCCCUGUGCUCGAUUUUCAAAUCCAAGAUGGCCACAUUGUGCCUUUGGUGUAUGGUUCACAAGGUGAUUGGGAUAGUAGCUUGAAGAUAAUACUUGAUUGGUCCCCCUUUUCUUCAAUGGAAGAACUGCUACAGCAGUUCAAGGAUAUUGAGAGCCAUGGAACUAAGGUGGUGAUAUAUGAUCUAUGGAUGAAUGAUGAUGGCCUUUUAGAACUUGACUUCGAUGAUGACGAUGAGGACAUAUUACUUAGAGAUCAAGCUAAAGCUACUGCGGGGACGACAAAGAUCCAAAAAGAAAUUAUUGAGCAACAUAUAUCCCACAGACUCAGAUUCUCUUUGCGCGCGUAUACUUCCAUCCUUUAUCUUAAGAAAUAUGCGAACUUCCAAAUUAUAUUAAGGGGAAAAGUGGUUGAACAUAUAAGUGUUGCCCAUGAUCUGAAGUUUAAGAAAGUAUUUACUUACAAGCCUCAAGUUACGCAUGAUUCUCAAGUGGUCUCAGUGAAGGUAGAUGUUGGAUUUGCCAAGGAGGCACCAGUUUUGGGCAUUUUUGGGAUGAAUGUCUACCAUAAAAAUCGACUAAUAAUGCCCUUCUGGAAGGUUCUUCAGGAAGGAUCUAGCAGAGGGAGGAGUGUUGUAGGUGUACUUGAGGCAAAUUUUAUUGAACCGGCACAUGACAAACAGGAUUUUGAGAGGACUCCACUAUUCAUUCGUCUGGAAACUAAACUUAGACAAAUUAUCAUUGAGUACUGGAAAAACAACUGUCAUUUGAUAGGUUACCAGCCAAUGAAUCCACAAUUAAAAACACAGUAUAAAGCUGCCAAAGCUCCAGGUGGUCCUGGACAUCAGUUUCAGAAGAAAUCGUCUACUGCUCAGAGGAUUGGAGCACAUUCAUCAAAUUUGCUACCGGAAACAUAUGAUGACACAGCAGUCUUUGGAUUGUCAGCUAAUGGUGCAGGUUCUGGUUUGCAAUUUUCUGGCCGAGCACAAGAAAAAAGUACAAAUUCAGCAGGCUUGGAAGAGGAUCUAGUCAAUAUUGCCUCUGAUGGUGAACUUGAUCCGAAUGUCAUUGAGAAGCUGAGUGAUGAAAACAUUUCUCUGUUCACAAGGCGUGAGGAGCUUAAACAACGAGAUACACAAUUGAAGCAGACGAUUUUGGAGUUGGAGCAUGAACUAGAGGAAACAAAAAGGAAAUGCUCUCAGCUUUCUACUGAGCUGCAGGUGCGGAAGAGCCAGCAGCAGCUCCCAUACAUGUGAAGGAGUUCUGGCAAUUCAUUGAGCAGAAAAGAGUUAUCCAGUUUAUAAAGGGACUAGCCAAACAAAUCGUAUGCUGCUAGCAACCCACCUGUGUUGCACUUCUUUCUACCAUUGUCGUUGAUGGUGGUCACCUUGUCCACCAAUUCAUGACAAACAUGGUCAAUCUUGAGACGAUGAGCUUGAUCAGCUUCAGAAAGAAGAUGAUGAGCUUGAUCAGCUUCAGAAAGAAGAUGAUGUUGGAGCACCAGAGCUCAAAGUUGGAUAUUGCUCGACCCAACUAACAAAUGUUAUUUCAUUAAGGAUGCAGAGCAGUGACCAAGGCCAAUGAAGAAACCACGGCGUGAAGUGUUGACGUUGUUCAUAUUCUUGCUAAUGCUAAACUGGGGCCACGCUUAGGAACCUUAUGUAGUAAACUAACUGUGCGUACCAACAGCAUAUGGUUAUCAGAUGUGUAUAUAUCAUGAUGUCUGGUUGCAACUGCUGUUCCGGGCACGGGAUCAAAGAUGAUUGAAUAAUCAAAAACUAAUCUAGUUAGUCGUAUUAUCAGUAA